GUGGGGAAUAUUGGGCAAUGGGCGAAAGCCUGACCCAGCAACGCCGCGUGAGUGAUGAAGGCCUUAGGGUUGUAAAGCUCUUUUACCAGGGAUGAUAAUGACAGUACCUGGAGAAUAAGCUCCGGCUAACUCCGUGCCAGCAGCCGCGGUAAUACGGAGGGAGCUAGCGUUGUUCGGAAUUACUGGGCGUAAAGCGCACGUAGGCGGUUACUCAAGUCAGAGGUGAAAGCCCGGGGCUCAACCCCGGAACUGCCUUUGAAACUAGGUAACUAGAAUCUUGGAGAGGUCAGUGGAAUUCCGAGUGUAGAGGUGAAAUUCGUAGAUAUUCGGAAGAACACCAGUGGCGAAGGCGACUGACUGGACAAGUAUUGACGCUGAGGUGCGAAAGCGUGGGGAGCAAACAGGAUUAGAAACCCCGGUAGUCC
rnacentral:rRNA from 1 species